AUGGCCAGUGGUAGGAAUCCCGAGAACAAGAACACGGACGGACGGAGUUGCUCCAUGGCGCCGAGGCAGGGGAGGAAGCGGCCAUCGUCCAUGACGUCCCGGUGCUCGAGCGAGGACGGCAUCCUAGAUCUGGGAGGCAGAGACGACGAACUAAUGAAGUUAGGAAUGGCUGUGAGGAGGAGAUGGAGUAGAUGGACGCACCUGAGUCGUCGGAGCCACGCCGACCGAAACCCUAGCGACGGGAGCCGGUCGCGGUUGGCACUGGAGGACGCGCGUGACGGAUCUCGACGGGGAACGCCAGCCUCCCCAAGUCGUGCCUGCUCGAUCCGGAGGGAGGGAGUGGGGGCGGGGCCGGCGACGCCUGCUUGA
rnacentral:rRNA from 1 species